UACGUAGGGUGCGAGCGUUAAUCGGAAUUACUGGGCGUAAAGCGUGCGCAGGCGGUUUUGUAAGCCAGGUGUGAAAUCCCCGGGCUCAACCUGGGAAUGGCAUUUGGGACUGCAAGGCUGGAGUGCGGCAGAGGAGACUGGAAUUCCUGGUGUGGCAGUGAAAUGCGUAGAUAUCAGGAGGAACACCGAUGGCGAAGGCAGGUCUCUGGGCUGACACUGACGCUCAUGCACGAAAGCGUGGGGAGCAAACAGG
rnacentral:rRNA from 1 species